ACAUGACUCUCGGCAAUGGAUAUYUCGGCUCUCGCAUCGAUGARGAGCGCAGCRAAAUGCGAUACGUGGUGCGAAUUGCAGAAUCCCGCGAACCAUCGAGUCUUUGAACGCAAGUUGCGCCCGAGGCCAACCGGYUAAGGGCACGUCUGCCUGGGCGUCAAGC
rnacentral:rRNA from 1 species